ensembl:miRNA
ACUGGAUUGGCUGAAAGUUCACUGGGGUUUUUCCAGGAGAGCGUGUGAGAAACCCGAAUGAACUUUUUGACCAACC